CAAGAGAAAAUCAUGUAAGUACAGUAAUACUACCUUCCUUAGCAACCAGAAUUACAAACUUUAUAACGGCAAAUCAGAGAAAUAUAACUGCAUUGACAAUUUGAGGCAUUUCAGUAAGCAUAUAAGCAAACAAAAAAUGCGUUUUUUUUGCUACAUGAUAUGCAUAUAUAUUCAACGUAUAAAGUGGUCUACCUCAUUCCAUAAUUUAGGUCCAAUUAGUAGCUAUGAUGAAAUCGACAAUAUACAAAAGAGGCACUCCUCAAUUCCCAUCAGAACCUUAAGUUAA